rnacentral:rRNA from 1 species
UACGUAGGGGGCAAGCGUUGUCCGGAUUUAUUGGGCGUAAAGAGCUCGUAGGCGGUUCCGUAAGUCGGGUGUGAAAAAUCUGGGCUCAACCCAGUGGAGCACCCGAUACUGCGGUGACUCGAGUCCGGUAGGGGAGUGUGGAAUUCCUGGUGUAGCGGUGAAAUGCGCAGAUAUCAGGAGGAACACCGACGGCGAAGGCAGCACUCUGGGCCGGUACUGACGCUGAGGAGCGAAGGCGUGGGGAGCGAACAGG